CUGAUUUUAAUUACUUUUUUUUUUGGUUUGUAUUUGUUGGAUUGUCAAUAAAGAUUUGGUUUUUAAAGAAAAAAAGGGGGCACGUGAACGAGCGAGGUAGGCUACAUCCCUGGAUAGUGUUAACUACUUUGAGCUUAUGUCAAUGCAAUUAAAAGCGUGAGCCAGAGACACCUGGCAUGUGCCUGCUGGCACUCCUCUCAGGACCUCAGAGACAUCAGGGCGAAUUCUGGGCUAAAACGCAGUCUGUGGUAAGUGAGGUAAAUGAAUGACGCAACCGCAGCUGUAAGAACCUUCUGGCAGCGGCAAGAGAGACGAUUAUCUUUGAAAUGACGUCAUUUGUUUGGAGUCAUUGUAACUGUCACUACUGCAAGUUUUCCGCAUGCAAUGUCAUCUCCAACUUCUCUGACAGAGUUUAUAUAAUAUACUUUAUUGCUUGUAAAACAUGAGUUAACUUUGUACACAGACAGAAGACCACAGUGACGACAAGAUCAUUGACAGUAAAUAAAGACAGGAAUGAAUAGGUGCACAUAAAGAAACAAUGGAUUAAGCCAUGACGGGCUCAUCGUGUGAAUGAAACACAGACAGAUCCACACAGUUUAGCAAAGCAACUGAACAAUGACAACCACAGAAAAUGUUUAUCAGAAUGUUAAAAUGUUCAAGUGCUGAUGAGAGAACAUAGUCUGAUAUCUUGUUUAUAAAAAUAAACAUGUCCCAUGCCUUAUACGCGUUAUAUACUCAUUAAAAUAUAUGUUUUGCUAUUAGUCUCUAUGUUACAUUACUACUAUAAAUAAAUUACCUUACAGACAUGUUUUUAUCUUUUCCUUUUUACAAAAUAGUGAAGAGUUUGGAUAAAUCUUAAUGUUACAGGUAAUGUUUUUAAAAGUGUUUCAUAUUCUCUCAAAUAUGUUAUCGUACUAUUUACAUUUACAGUGUAGAAUAAUACAUUUCCAUACUGAAUAUCAUUUGCAAAACAUUAACAUAUUGCCACAGUGGCCUUUCA